GCAGGCGAGAGCGACUGAAAGGAGCGGCCAACCCGGAGUGCAAAGCUAUAAGCCGACCUGUCUGCGUGCAACGCACAGGCAGGCGAACAGAAAUGGCAUACAAGGCUCAGUUUCCGGGCAAGUCAGCACAACAUGACAAAGCCCGGGGUUCAAGGAGACUUGCCUGCCUUAGGCAGGUCGGGUAGUCGCCAAAGGCGACCAAGAAUGCAGCGGUUGUGUAGCGACAGAUCACGUC
rfam:Deltaproteobacteria bacterium RBG_13_49_15 RBG_13_scaffold_32668, whole genome shotgun sequence.